rnacentral:rRNA from 1 species
AUCUCAGUAACCGGAGGAAAGGACAUCAACCGAGACUUCCCUAGUAGUGGCGAGCGAACGGGAACCAGGCCAGUGCUCUUGUGAAAUAAAGGCGAACGCUCUGGAAAGGGCGACCAUAGCGGGUGACAGUCCCGUAGCCAUCAAACAGCAAGAGACUCGAGUAGGGCGGGACACGUGUAAUCCUGUCUGAACAUGGGGGGACCACCCUCCAAGCCUAAAUACUCGUAUGCGACCGAUAGCGAACUAGUACCGUGAGGGAAAGGUGAAAAGCACCCCGAUGAGGGGAGUGAAACAGUACCUGAAACCGAAUGCCUACAAGCAGUGGGAGCCUCUUUAUGGGGUGACCGCGUACCUCUUGCAUAAUGGGUCUGUGACUUAGUGUAUCAUGCAAGCUUAAGCCGUUAGGUGUAGGCGCAGCGAAAGCGAGUCUGAAUAGGGCGACUGAGUAUGAUGCAUUAGACCCGAAACCCGGCGAUCUAUGCAUGACCAGGUUGAAGGUGCGGUAACACGCACUGGAGGACCGAACCGUUUAAUGUUGAAAAAUUAUCGGAUGAGUUGUGCUUAGGGGUGAAAGGCCAAUCAAGCCGGGAAAUAGCUGGUUCUCCGCGAAAUCUAUUGAGGUAGAGCGUCGGAUGAAUACCUCAGGGGGUAGAGCACUGGAUGGGCUAGGGGGACUUACCGUCUUACCAAACCCAACCAAACUCCGAAUACCUGAGAGUACUAUCCGGGAGUCACACGGCGGGUGCUAACGUCCGUCGUGAAGAGGGAAACAACCCAGACCGCCAGCUAAGGUCCCAAAGAUUGGCUAAGUGGAAAACGAAGUGGGAAGGCUAAAACAGUCAGGAUGUUGGCUUAGAAGCAGCCAUCAUUUAAAGAAAGCGUAAUAGCUCACUGAUCGAGUCGUCCUGCGCGGAAGAUGUAACGGGGCUAAGCCAGUCACCGAAGCUGCGGAUAUGUUUCUUAGUAUUUAUACUUCGAUCCAUAUGGUAGGAGAGCGUUCCGUAAGCCUGAGAAGGUGUCUUGUAAAGGAUGCUGGAGGUAUCAGAAGUGCGAAUGCUGACAUGAGUAGCGAUAAAGAGGGUGAAAAGCCCUCUCGCCGAAAGCCCAAGGUUUCCUGUUCAACGUUCAUCGGAGCAGGGUGAGUCGGCCCCUAAGGCGAGGCAGAGAUGCGUAGCUGAUGGGAAGCAGGUUAAUAUUCCUGCACCGUCGUAUGAUGCGAUGGGGGGACGGAUCGCGGAAGGUUGUCUGACUGUUGGAAUAGUCAGUUUCUGGUUCAUAGAAGGCGCUUAGGCAAAUCCGGGCGCGGAAUUCAAGGAUGUGGGGCGAGCGGCUUUAAGCUGCGAAGCAAUCGGAAGUGGUUCCAAGAAAAGCCUCUAAGCUUCAGUCAUACGAGACCGUACCGCAAACCGACACAGGUGGGCGAGAUGAGUAUUCUAAGGCGCUUGAGAGAACUCUGGAGAAGGAACUCGGCAAAUUGACACCGUAACUUCGGAAGAAGGUGUGCCCUAUUAGUGUGUAGUGAACAACGAAGCAUGAAUGGGUUGCAAAAAAUCGGUGGCUGCGACUGUUUAUUAAAAACACAGCACUCUGCAAACACGAAAGUGGACGUAUAGGGUGUGACGCCUGCCCGGUGCUGGAAGAUUAAAUGAUGGGGUGCAAGCUCUUGAUUGAAGUCCCAGUAAACGGCGGCCGUAACAAUAACGGUCCUAAGGUAGCGAAAUUCCUUGUCGGGUAAGUUCCGACCUGCACGAAUGGCGUAACGACUUCCCCGCUGUCUCCAACAUAGACUCAGUGAAAUUGAAUUCCCCGUGAAGAUGCGGGGUACCUGCGCUUAGACGGAAAGACCCCGUGCACCUUUACUAUAACUUUACACUGGCAUUCGUGUUUGCAUGUGUAGGAUAGGUGGUAGGCUAUGAAGUCGGGGCGCCAGCCCUGAUGGAGCCACCCUUGAAAUACCACCCUUAUGAACAUGGAUGUCUAACCGCGACCCGUUAUCCGGGCCCGGGACAGUGUAUGGUGGGUAGUUUGACUGGGGCGGUCGCCUCCCAAAGAGUAACGGAGGCGUGCGAAGGUGGGCUCAGACCGGUCGGAAAUCGGUCGUCGAGUGCAAUGGCAUAAGCCCGCCUGACUGCGAGACUGACAAGUCGAGCAGAGACGAAAGUCGGCCAUAGUGAUCCGGUGGUCCGUUGUGGAACGGCCAUCGCUCAACGAAUAAAAGGUACUCUAGGGAUAACAGGCUGAUUUUGCCCAAGAGUCCAUAUCGACGGCAAAGUUUGGCACCUCGAUGUCGGCUCAUCACAUCCUGGGGCUGGAGCAGGUCCCAAGGGUAUGGCUGUUCGCCAUUUAAAGUGGUACGUGAGCUGGGUUCAGAACGUCGUGAGACAGUUCGGUCCCUAUCUGCCGUGGGUGUAGGAAUAUUGACAGGAUCUGUCCCUAGUACGAGAGGACCGGGAUGGACGUACCUCUGGUGGACCUGUUGUGGCGCCAGCCGCAGUGCAGCAUAGCUAUGUACGGACGGGAUAACCGCUGAAAGCAUCUAAGCGGGAAACCAACCUGAAAACGAGUGU